rnacentral:rRNA from 1 species
ACGGGAGGCAGCAGUGGGGGAUAUUGCACAUUGGGGGAAACCCUGAUGCAGCGACGCCGCGUGAGUGAAGAAGUAUUUCGGUAUGUAAAGCUCUAUCAGCAGGAAAGAUAAUGACGGUACCUGACUAAGAAGCACCGGCUAAAUACGUGCCAGCAGCCGCGGUAAUACGUAUGGUGCAAGCGUUAUCCGGAUUUACUGGGUGUAAGGGGAGCGCAGACGGCAUGGCAAGCCAGAUGUGAAAGGCAGGGGCUCAACUCCUGGACUGCAUUUGGAACUGUCAAGCUAGAGUAUCGGAGAGGUAAGUGGAAUUCCUAGUGUAGCGGUGAAAUGCGUAGAUAUUAGGAGGAACACCAGUGGCGAAGGCGGCUUACUGGACGAUAACUGACGUUGAGGCUCGAAAGCGUGGGGAGCAAACAGGAUUAGAUACCCUGGUA